GGCGGAUAAGGGGAGCGCUGUGGAGCGCGGGGCCUGACGGGACUUGUAGUCCUGGCUCGGUUAAGCCGCCAUGGAGCCGCUGUGCAUGACGGGGCUUGUAGGCUCAAAGUCGCUAAAAUGGCGCCGACACCAGGCCCCGCCUCCAGGUGCUGUUCCCGGGUGCUGAUUGGUUGCAGACAUUGAUAGGCGGGAGCCUCAGCCAAUGGGAGGCGGCAGAGGCGGGACCAGCCCAUUCAACCCCUCCAGUCCCUCCCAGUAAAACCCAGUUAAUCCCAGUCCAGGCUAGUUCCUCCCAGUACAGCCCCAGUGCCCCUCCAGUCCCUCCCAGUGCAGCCCAGUUUGCCCCUGUGCCUCCCAGUAUCUCCCAGUUCUACCAGUGCCACUCCCAGUUCGUCCCAGUCCAUCCCAGUUUGUCCCAGUGCAUCCCAGUGCCACUCCCAGUCUGUCCCAGUGCUCCCAGCAUCCCCCAGUGUCACUCCCAGUUCAUCCCAGUAUCCCCCAGUUCAUCCCAGUCCUUCCGCGGCCAAACCUCUGCCCUCCCCCAUAUUUGGCCACGCCCCUUCCAUUGGUCACGCCCCCUCGUUCCGUGCCCCGCCCCCUCCCAUUUCUCCCCCGCCCCCAUUUCCAGUUCCCGCGGCUGCUCUGGGAAGGUGAGUGGAGCCCCAGUGACUCCCAGUUCAUCCCAGUAACCCCCCCCAGUCCCUCCCAGUAACCUCCCAGUAACCCCCCAGUCCAUCCCAGUAACCCCCCAGUAACAUCCCAGUAACCCCCCAUCCAUCCCAGUCUCUCCCAGUUUGCCCAGUUCUCUCCCAGUAGUCCCCAGUUGGUCCCAGUCCCCCCCGGCUCCCCCCAGUUUGUCCCAGUUCCCCCCAGUUCGUCCCAGUCCCGCCCUGCUCAGGAAUCCCAGUGACUCACCCGUCCCCAGUCCCCUCCCAGUCGCUCCCAGUUUGUCCCAGUUUGUCCCAGUCCCCUCCACCCCCUCAGGGAUCAAAGGUGACCGAAUGGAGUGGGAACAGCUCCGGGAACUGGUGAUACUGGGAGGUACUGGUUUGGACUGGGAUGGACUGGGAGGGAACUGGGAGGGACUGGGGGGGACUGGGAUGGACUGGGAGGGACUGGUUUGUACUGGGAGGGACUGGGAGGGAACUGGUUUAUAUUGGGAGGGACUGGGAGGGACUGGGAGGGACUGGUUUGUACUGGGAGGGACUGGGAGGAUUUCGGGGGUUACUGGGAGGAACUGGGCCCAGUCCCAGCCCAAACUGGUUUAACUGGUGUCCCCUCCCCCCCCAGUUCUGUCCCUGGCCAGAGGCGACACCCCGAUGCCUCCAGUCCCUUCCAGUUCGGUGAGUGCGGGAACUGGGAGGGACUGGGAGGGUCCCCAAAGUGUCCCCAAAGUGUCCCCAAGGUGUCACCAGGGUGUCCCCAAGGUGUCCCCAGGUGUCCACAGGUGUCCCCAAAGUGUCCCCAAGGUGUCCCCAGGUACUCCCAGGUGUCCCCAACGUGUCCCCAGGUGUCCCCAAGGUACCCCCAGCUGUCCCAGUGUCCCUGUCCCUGUCCCAGACUGGUGUCACCUGCACGUCGGUGGCCUCGCGGUGGCCGCAGUGCUGAGCGUGCUGGGGGUCGUCGUCCAGUGAGUGCCGCCCCUGUCACCUGUGUGUCACCUGUGUGUCACCUGUGUGUCACCUGUAUGUCACCUGUGUGUCACCUGUGUCACCUGUGUGUCACCUGUGUCACCUGUGUGUCACCUCUGUGUCACCUCUGUGUCAGCUGUAUGUCACCUGUGUGUCACCUGUGUCACCUGUGUGUCACCUGUGUGUCACCUGUGUGUCACCUGUGUCACCUGUGUGUCACCUCUGUGUCACCUCUGUGUCACCUCUGUGUCCCCUCAGGUGGGAAGUGCAAGUGCCGGAGCAAGGCCAGGUGA
ensembl:lncRNA